rnacentral:misc_RNA from 1 species
UUUCCGUAGGUGAACCUGCGGAAGGAUCAUUACUGAGUGAGGGCCCCUCGGGGUCCAACCUCCCACCCGUGUUUAACGAACCUUGUUGCUUCGGCGGGCCCGCCUCACGGCCGCCGGGGGGCAUCUGCCCCCGGGCCCGCGCCCGUCGAAGCCACCUGUGAACGCUGUCUGAAGUAUGCAGUCUGAGAUAAUUAUUAAAUUAAUUAAAACUUUCAACAACGGAUCUCUUGGUUCUG